UAUUUUAAAUUGACAUAGACCAAGUCCUCUAGUAAAUGAG
rnacentral:tRNA from 1 species